rnacentral:rRNA from 1 species
AAUUCGCCCUUUAAUUGUGGGCUAGAAUGAAAGGACAAACGAAAGAUUAACUGUCUCUAUACUAUAAAUAAAAAUUGACCUUCAGGUGAAGAGACCUGAAUAAAAAUAAAAGACAAGAAGACCCCGUAGAGCUUCGUUUUAUUUUAAGCUACCCACUUACCUAAUUUUUUAGUUAUACCACACCUUAAUCAAAACUUAGCUGGGGCGGCUAAGGAGAACACUAUCCUCCAUUUUUAACUUUUAGCUACAUAAGGCUUAUAAGCCUAAUUCUUUAAUGACCCUUUGAAGAUCAAAAGACAUAGCUACCUCGGGGAUAACAGAUUAAUCCUUCUAGAGAGCUCACAUUGACAGAAGGGAUUGACACCUCGAUGUUGGCUUAGGGUAUCCUAUAAAUAGCAGCAAUUUAUAAAGGUAGGUUUGUUCAACCUUUAAAACCCUACGUGAU